CUGGCUGGAUACAUGUGAUAGUAACAAGUUUGACAACAGAGUCUGACAUGAUUCACAAAAAUAUACGUUCCUGUCUGCCACUGGUUUUUCCACAACACUGAAUGUCAUCAUAAAGUCCAGUUAUCCUCUAUCUCCUACACCACAUUGACUCCAGCAAGGGAAUUUGCGUAUCAAAACUGCUUCUCACACACCCAUCCUCUUAGCUGCCAAAACUCAGCAUGUAUUUGUAAUCAAAGCAGAGACAGCCCUAUUUCUCUGUAUCAUUUUCACCCUGCCAAUUCACUAGGCAUCAAGGAUGUAAAAAACUGCCUGGAUAUACCUCCCAUAUAUAAGCACCAUGCUUAUCUGAGAAGCCCUAGAACUCUGUGGACGAACCUUGAAGGAGCCUCCAAGCCUGAACCAAAGCCCUACAGAUCACCUGCUAUCUUCAUAGCACCAUGAGGUAAAGGCUUUCUCUGCUUCACUGACCUUAUUUCUGCACACUUUGAAAUUCUAAAACUUCCCUUAAGGGCCAAUUUUUUGACAGGCCUUCUCCUAAGGGAGCUGUCCCACUGGUGGUUCUGACCCUGUUAGGCACCCUCAACAUGAUAACCAAGAAGAGUUUAAUAAGGGGGCUAUUUAAGACGAUAUGGGCAAAGUUUAGGGAAAUCAACAGGAAAUGGUGCUUGUUGGUUGCAGGGCAGCGGGAAGAGGCGUGUUGGUUUACAACAGUGGUAACAUGAUAACCCUGGGCCUACAGGAGCAAGAGGAGAGAACCAGACCCAAGGAGACUCUAAGCUAUAGCUGUAAGGGAGGGGCUUCUCAAGAGGCCUUUGGUGAAAAAAUCACUGACAACCUCAAGCAGAGCACAGUGGGAGCUUAGGAAUUAAUUCCAUGACCUUCACCUCCUCCUGCAAUUUAAUAUCUGGCUGGUGCUCCCCAGUGGGCCAACCCCAGAAGAAAGUAAAAAAUAAAAGAGUUUUGGAGUUAAUAAAGUCCAUAGAGUCAGCUUCCAAGCACAAAACAUGGUGAAGAAUGUAGGAAAGUAGAUCCAGAGGGGCAAGAUGAGAAUAUAUGUAGAGGCGUUUCCUAACUCCUGUUACAGAGCUCGCUUAGUAAGGGUAGCUGGCUUAAUAAAAGCAGCAAUGCUCUUAAGGAAAUAAACGAGAAAGCAAUCUUAUUUCCAAAGAUGUCAUUUCUGUAGCACUUUCUAAUAGGAUUCAGAAUGACAGUGUCCAUGAUGGAGCAAUAGAGG
rnacentral:lncRNA from 1 species